rnacentral:rRNA from 1 species
CCUACGGGGGGCAGCAGUGAGGAAUAUUGGUCAAUGGACGAGAGUCUGAACCAGCCAAGUAGCGUGAAGGAUGACUGCCCUAUGGGUUGUAAACUUCUUUUAUAUGGGAAUAAAAUGUUCUACGUGAGGGAUUUUGUAUGUCCCAUAUGAAUAAGGAUCGGCUAGCUCCGUGCCAGCAGCCGCGGUAAUACGGAGGAUCCGAGCGUUAUCCGGAUUUAUUGGGUUUAAAGUGAGAGUAGGUGGUUUGUUAAGUCAGAUGUGAAAGUUUGCGGCUCAACCGUAAAAUGGCAGUUGAAACUGGAAGUCUUGAGUACAGUAGAGGUAGGCGGAAUUCGUGGUGUAGCGGUGAAAUGCUUAGAUAUCACGAAGAACCCCGAUUGCGAAGGCAGCUUUCUAAUCUGUGACUGACAUUGAUGCUCGAAAGUGUGGGUAUCAAACAGGAUUAGAUACCCGUGUAGUC